GGAUUUUUUAAUGUAUGAAAGUUACCCAGCUAGCUUAUGGACCGUCGGUGGCUCUAAUUUCCCGUUCGGAAAGCACCUAAAGUCUUCCUUCACCAGUUAAGCUGAAAAUUCGCCAUAUGACCUUUACAAAGUUUGUGUGACGUUAAGCCCAACCGAAAUAAUAAAGAUUUUCACUGUGAUCAAAUUUAGUUACAAUAACAUAAUUUUAAUCACGCACUUCCCGUGAUACGAAUCAGAUGGCGAUGUUAUUUAGCAUAUAUGAUCUAUUUACUAAUUUAAAUUCGAGUGUCACAUCCUUUACCUUUUGUCCAGUUUCCUUUUAUAAAUACGUAAACGUAUUGUUUCAAAUUUAAUGAUAAUAGUUAGGUCGAAUGAAUAACAACUUAUGUUCAUUAGUUUAACAUAGCAUUUAUAUCACAAAUAUUAUUUUUUAUUAUACAUUGUUAAGCUCGAUACUGAAUAUUAUUGGAUAAGUACACAGCUCUCACGAGGCUAGAUUUAUUAAGUAUUUUAUCUUGGAAGAUUACAUGAUAAAAACUCUGGACGGUUAUGGGUUUUGAGACCUAAAGAUCUAGUGAGGGGGAAAGAUCUAGUGCAGUCUUAUUUAGAGGGGAUUUUGUUAUUCACUACCCCUCAAGUCUGGACCUUUCACUUGAUUUGGAUUUACAAAACUACCGAACUACUCCCCAAUGGAUUGAGCCAAUCUGUCUAUUGACAAGUGUCUUACUUGAUAUUUUGGGGGAAAAAACAUUAUUAAAUUCAAUUUCGACGCUUAGCCUUAAAGAAGAGAAAACCAUGCAUUAUCGAAAUACAUUUAUAUUAUAACGUAAACGGAACAAGAACAUCUGAUUUCAAUUUAUUUUUACAUUCUUGCUAAAACCACACACUCCAGACAAUUCAGUGCGUCAUAAAAUGCUACUGGACCAAUUUUGUAUACAUUUAAUCAAGAAAUUACAAGAAAUGACUCUUCUUCGAUGAACAGCGGUACAAUGUAAUUGAGAAAUAGUUUUUUACGACCUUAAUAGUGUCGUUGCACAGGCUUUUAUCUUAUUCUUUUGAUAGGAUAAGAGUGAUACACAGUUUUAAAGCAUUUGUGGUAGCUGUACCAAAUGAGGAGCACGAGUAUAGCACGAGUAAAUGAGAUACCAGAUGUAUGUUUAAGAUAUAAAUUGAAAACUGCAUUACUGAUAAGAAAAAAACUGAAUGAGAUUACCACCGUUGGUGUGUCUAUUUUAAUCAUAUCGGAUUAUAACUUUACUACGAAGAAGACAGGAUGAUGGCUGAGAAACAAGGUCUUCCUGAAGAUCCUUUCCUCGAAAAUGGCGUAAG